CUGCCUUCGUUUAUGUUUCUUCAAAUUAGGAUGUGAAAAGAGUGAGAGGAGGUUGGAGUAGUAGGAGUUGGACUAGAAUUACUUAUUGGGUUGGUUUCGGGUAGUUGGCUUGGAUGUGAAGAUUUGAGUUGCAAUCUUUGAGUUGGGUUUUGGUUUUCAGCUGCAUUUGGUAGUUUCAGAUUCUCAAGUUCUGGGUUUUGUUCAGAAUUUUGGAAAGAGGGUACUUGAAGUGUUGCAGUGGACUUGUCGGCUGAAAAGAGGCUUAUGCGAUUUCGUGAUGAUUUUCAUGGAUUCUGUUUUCAUGUAUCAUCAGCUGCUUGGAAGUGA
rnacentral:lncRNA from 1 species